CUCCUUUUACGAACAAAAUAUGGUGUCUCUAAUCUCUGUUCAUCCUUCAUUAGUGGCAACGAGGAAGGAGUUCGCUGACUUAGAAAGUCAGCUAAAAGAAAGAGGAUGUCGGUUGGAUCCAGAUAAUGGAGUAAAAAUGAAAUUUGUUGUUGAACUAAUCAGACUCUGUGGUGGAUUGAAGGAGAGGGUUAUAAUAUUUAGCCAGUUACUUGAUCCUCUAAACUUGAUCAAGGAGCAACUCCAUUCUCUCUUUGGCUGGACUUUAGGCCGAGAGAUCCUCUAUAUGGAUGGAAAACUUGAUGUAAAGCAGCGACAGAUAUCAAUAAAUUCUCUUAAUGAUCCUAAGAGUGAUGUAAAAGUGCUUCUUGCAUCAAUAAAAGCCUGUUCAGAAGGAAUAAGUCUUAUAGGGGCCUCAAGAGUGGUUUUGCUUGAUGUUCUCUGGAAUCCCUCAGUAGAACAGCAAGCCAUCAGUCGAGCCUACAGAAAUGGUCAGACUAAAUUUGUUCAUGUGUACUGCCCAGUGUCGUCAAAAUGG
rnacentral:misc_RNA from 1 species